rnacentral:rRNA from 1 species
AUGAAGACCUUACUCAUCCUAACAAUCCUUGCGAUGGCAACAACAAUCGCCACUGCCAAUAUGCAGGUCGACCCUAGCAGCCGAGUACAAUGGCCACAAGAACGACCUUUCCCCCAGUCCCAACAACCAUUCUCCCAGCAACCACAACAAAUAUUUCCCCAACCCCAACAAACAUUCCCCCAUCAACCACAACAAGCAUUUCCCCAACCUCAACAAACAUUCCCCCAUCGACCACAACAACAAUUUCCCCAGCCCCAGCAACCACAACAACCAUUUCCCCAGCCCCAACAACCCCAACUACCAUUUCCCCGACAACCACAACAACCAUUCCCCCAGCCUCAACAACCCCAACAACCAUUUCCCCAGUCACAGCAACCACAACAACCUUUUCCCCAACCCCAACAACAAUUUCCGCAGCCCCAACAACCACAACAAUCAUUCCCCCAACAACAACAACUGAUGAUUCAGUCAUUUCUACAACAACAGAUGAACCCCUGCAAGAAUUUUCUCUUGCAGCAAUGCAACCCUAUGUCAUUGGUGUCAUCUCUCGUGUCAAUAAUCUUGCCACGAAGUGAUUGCCAGGUGAUGCAGCAACAAUGUUGCCAACAACUAGCACAAAUUCCUCAACAGCUCCAGUGCGCAGCCAUCCACAGCGUCGCGCAUUCCAUCAUCAUGCAGCAAGAACAACAACAAGGCGUGCAGAUCCUGCGACCACUAUUUCAGCUCGCCCAGGGUCUGGGUAUCAUCCAACCUCAACAACCAGCUCAAUUGGAGGGGAUCAGGUCAUUGGUAUUGAAAACUCUUCCAACCAUGUGCAACGUGUAUGUCCCACCUGACUGCUCCACCAUCAACGUACCAUAUGCCAGCAUAGACGCCGGCAUUGGUGGCCAAUGA